rnacentral:rRNA from 1 species
AUGUCCAGGUUGGCCAAGGAGCGGGACCUCGUUCGGGUUAGUGCGUAAGUGGGAUUGAGUUUGGGGCUAAGGUAGAGAGGGAGCCAGGGAGGUAGGAGGUCCGGAGGCAGCGGCGGCCGGUGGUUCCGUGGUUGGUGGAGGAGCCUUCGUCUCGGAGCUUCCGUCGCGACGGAGCGGCUACGUUCGCCGGGCAGUAGCGGGUGCCCCGCGAGAAGGAGCACGAGAGGGAACGCCCGGACCGGCCAAGGGAGCUGGUGUGUAGAACAGAGGAGUGGUUGGUGCUGCGGCCGGUGGACGAGGCAGCAGAGGCCGUCUCCCAUGAGGUGGAUCGACGUCGUGAGUACGCGAACGGGGGCGGGAGCUCAAGCAGCUGCCACGACAGGAGGUCGGCGUCGGCGGCAUCUAGUUUCAUGUCCGACUGAUGAUGACGGUACUCCUGAGCCACUGUAGGUAGUAGCCGUCUACUGCAUUGCGUUAGGGACGAACCUUAGUUAAUAGUGGGAAUUAAGUCGAGGCAAACAAUAAUGGAGACAUGAAGUUCACAACCAACACGUCUUAUACAUUCAACAGUUCACAUUAUAAACACGACGUUUUAGACACAAACCGUGAUCAUGUACAAUACUUGAUAGUUCACAAGUAGUUAAAUUCAUAACCAUCACGUCUUAUACAUUCGACAAUAAUUCGACCACGAUACAAAAAUCUACAGGUUGACGUACUAGCAAGUAUAUAACUCGACAUGUACAUACCCACCCAUUGACUAUAUCUUGGUAUCCGAUUUUGGUAUCAAGGAUCUUACCCAAUCAAACCAAAACCCCUUAAACAGUACACCAAAUCAAACCCGACCCACCGUUACGGUUAAUACACCCCUAUCAAACCAAGUCAAAGGUUUCGCUGU